rnacentral:lncRNA from 1 species
CGAUAAGAAGUAUAAAGGUGUUAAAAUUGGAGAAAACAGUAAAAAGCAAUGGAAACGUUUGGCUAGGAAUAUGGAAAUAUAUGAUGGUAUUAAAGAAAAAGAUGGAUUGAAUUUAUAUGAUAACAACCUAAUUGAGAGGUUACAGUACUGGAGGAGAUUGCGGAGGAUAAAAGAAGAGGAACUAUUGUUUUUGGCUAAUGUUAUAAAAGCAAAAACAACUGAAUAUGGAGCAUGCUAUUAUAGUGGAUCCCAUAGGAUUAUCUAGAGGAAUAUGCUUGUUUUGGAACAACGAUGUUCAGGUAUGUCAAACUAACUCAUCUUCAUAUUAUAUUGAAACUUACGUGCAAGAUACUUUAUCGGAUUAUAAAUAUUAGUGUGCAUUUGUAUAUUUAAGUACUGAUAAAGCUAUUCGUAAAAGUCAAAUGCAAGAACUUAUCAGUAAAUCUAAUUAUUGGGGGUUCAUUGUGGAUAAUGGCUGGAUAUUUUAAUGUUAUUAUUGAUAAUUCUGAAAAGUUGGGAGGUGGGAUUAGAGAAACAACUUUUAGAGAUUUUAAAGAUUUUUUAUGGAAUGUUGGAGCUGCAGAUUUAGGUUUUAAUGGAAAUCCAUGGACCUCGUGGUGCUUUAGAGAAAAUGAUGGUAUUAUUCAAGAACGACUUGAUAGAGUUAUAGCCUCCCAAGGAUGGAGACUAGAAUUUAAUCUAGCAUAUGUUACUCACUUGGAAACGGAGGCUUUUGAUCAUAAUGAUUUAUUAAUGAACAUGAAGCCUAGCACUAUUAAAAGAAAAAAAAAAGAUUUUACUUUGACAAGAGAUAGAACAAGAAGGAAGUUGUGAACAAUAUUAUAAAGAAGUCUUGAAAUAGUUACUCAGGGGGUUUUAAACAAUCAAAAGUUAGUUUUAAAAUUAAGAAGUGUAGAGUAUCAUUGUUAGCUUGGCUAAAAGGGGGAAAGGAAAAUUCGAAGAAGCGAAUUCAAGGUAUUAAAGAUAGAAUAACUGAACUAAAAAAUGAUACUGUUAAUUUCAAUCUUAAUAAGCUGAAACUACUACGUAAGGAAUUAGGACAAGCCUACAGAGAUGAAGAAGCAUAUUGGAAACAAAAGUCUAGAGCUUUAUGGCUUCACGAAGGAGAUAAAAAUACAUUUUUUUUCAUAUGAAAACCAUUCAAAGACGAAAAUGUAAUAGUAUUAAAGGGUUCCAAUUAGAAGAUGGACAUUGGGUCUCUGAUCAAGUUGAUAUUGUAAAGGAAGUAAGAAGAUAUUAUAAGCUAUUAUUUACUACUUCUAGACCAACAAACUUUGACUCCAUCUUGAAUUUAAUUCCUCCGUUGAUUGACAAUUCUAUAAAUGAUAGACUGAUUAAAGAUGUUACUUAUAAUAAGAUUCGAAGAGUUUUAUUUGAUAUGCAUCCUCUAAAAGCACCAGGGGUGGAUGGUAUGACUCCUUUUUUCUUUCAAAAAUAUUGAAAUAUUCUUUCUGUUGACGUAUGUGCAGCUAUUAAAAGUUUUUUCCAGUCAGAUUGUCUUCUCCCUUCAUGGAAUCAAACUCUAAUAACUUUGAUCCCUAAAGUGAAAAAUCCAAGUGGUAUUUAGUCAAUUUAAACCUAUAAGCUUGUGUUCAACUGUCUAUAAAAUUAUUUCUAAGAUUAUUGUUGCUAGAUUGAAAGAAUAUUUACCUAAGAUAGUUUCUCCUAAUCAUUCUGCUUUUAUUGGAAAAAGACAAAUUCUGGACAAUGUUGUUUUAUCUCGUGAGUUUAUAAAUCUUUUAAACAAUAAAAGAAAAGGUAAUAAAAAAUACCUGGCUUUGAAAUUGAAUAUGGCUAAAACUUAUGAUCGAGUUGAAUGGACUUAUAUCCAACAAUUACUUCUGAAAAUGGAUUUUUAUAAGACAUUCAUCACUUGAAUUAUGCUAUGUAUUACUAUACCUACAUACAGGUUUAACAUAAAUGGGCGAAUAGAUGGUGAAAUGAUACAUAUUAAGGGGUUAAGGUAAGGUGAUCUUUUGUCACCAUAUUUGUUCUUAAUAUGUGCCCAAGGUCUUUCUAGACUAUUAAAUCAAGCGGAAUGUCAAGGGGAUAUUCAAGGUCCAAGUUUAGUUAGAGGGAAACCUAUUGUAAAUCAUCUUUUCUCUGAGGAUCAUUCUUUUUUCUUUUGUUCUGCUAAUAUCCAAAAUGCUACUAAUAUCUCUAAAAAUUUAAAAGUUUAUGAAGAAUAUUCUGGACAGACGGUGAACUUUGAUAAAUCGGCGAUAAAUUUUAGUAAAAAUACUCUUGAAAUUGAUAAAUAUGGUAUUAUUGCAGAGCUAGGUCAGUUACAAAGAAAUAAUUUAGGUUUUUAUCUGGGUUUACCUGAAGUAGUUGGAAGAUCGAAGAAGAAAAUGUUGGAAUGUCACGACCCAAUUUUUCUUCCGUUGGGUAUCGUGAUAGCACCUAGCCUUAGAGACUAGGUAAGCCUAACAUUUAUUGAAUAACAAUAAUAAUUAAAUAAUAUCUAAUAAUUUUUUUUUUAAAAGUAGAAAUCUCUAUAAAAUUUACAAUUCCCAAAACCGAUAGUACAAGUCAUAAGCCCUACAGAGUUUUGCUACAAUUUACUAAAUACAACUGUUUGAAAUAAAGUAAAUAGUGUGAAUACAAUCAGAAGGUGACUCUGAAGCAUGCGAACGCAGCAGCGGGUUUACCUUGAGUCUCCACAGCAACAGUCCACACAGCUAGCUAAUGAUGCACUGACUUCGAAAUACCUGGAUCUGCACAAAAAUAUAUAGAAGUAUAGUAUAAGUAUACCACGGCGGUACCCAGCAAGUAUCAAGACUAACCUCGGUGGAGUAGUGACGAGGAACAGUCAAGACACCUACUGGACUAAAUAACCUGAACAAAGUAUAAGUAUAGAAACAACAGAGUAUAAUAUCUACAUAAAGACUAUGCGAUAUGACUAACAAUACAGUAAUUGCAAUAGGAAAGGACAACAACAAGUAUCAGCGAAAUACCAUAAUAAUGACACAGAAGGGUGAAUGUAAACACCACCUAAAUCCGAAAUCAUAGAUACAGCAAGGACAAUUAAUAACUCAGCAACAACGACUGCUUUCACAUCAGGUUUUAGGCAACAAACUCCAGGAGGUAACGAACCUCGGACAAAUCACAACUCACGGGUUCCAAUACUUGAUCCCUAACACUUGGCAUCUUGUGCCCUCAUUACUCUUCAUAACCGCAUAGACGACUCACGUGCCAAAUAAAGUCGUUCUCACAUAGAAGGCAAGUAAACAGGAGUAUUCAUCUAUACUCAACAAUAUCAAGAAAACUUCUUAACCGGUAAGAGUGCUCAACUACGUGUAUGCUUGUGCAAGUGUCCUAACAUAGUUCAUGCCAGCUAGUAAGUACAGGAAAAGAAAUGGACAGCACGUAGAAUAUUUUCACACAACUUUCCACAAGAUAAAGCUCACACAGGUAAGUGUACCACUACACAAGUAUCAAUAACAAGAAUUCCCCCAAGCCAUCACAAGUCAUCACAAAUCAAUCCCUGACACAGCCCACCUUGUCUCGCCACGUGUGCAAUAGUAAAAUAAAUGUCCGCCUUGUCUCGCCACACGUGCAUAAUAAUGUUCCCACCUUGUCUCGCCAUAUGCGCAACCCACAUAUAUAUAUCCUGCCUUGUCACGCUGCAUGUGCAAAUAUCAAUAGUAAUAAUAGCACGGCAUAAAACCUCGUGUAACCCCAUAACAAAUAGAUGUCAACAAAGGGCACUCCCGAGAUACCAUCUCGUAGUCCCAAAAGUAAAUACUCGACAGUGGAUCUCCUGAGGUACUACCUUAUAGUCCCAAAUUAAAUAUGUAAGAUAUGGGGAUCUCCCGAGGUUCCUCCUCGUAGUCCCAAAAUAAAUAUGCAAGAACAACAAGUACAACAGCAACAAUAACACUAAUAAGAGGGUACGACAAAUAAAUCAAUUCAGAAAUUUCAUAACUCAAAGGAACGGAGGAAUUAAUUCACAAGGAGUGGACACAAUAGAGAAUGCUAGUCAUCAUAAGAACAACUCAACAAGAAAGAGAAUAUUAUGUAACUACGGUCCACAAUGUACAAUUCGACAACGAGGGAGCUAACACAAGGCGAAUAAUUCCAAAUAAGGAUAAGUCAACUAAAAUAUAGGAUAUAUAACUUCUUUUAAGGUUGGAAAUUAAGAAAGAGAUACAAAAAAUUCAAUUAGGGAUAAGCAGCAGAAAGAUAAUCAUAGCCUCAAUUAAGGAUGAACAAUUACAAAAGAGAUAAUUAUAACUUCAAAUAAAGAUAGGCAGUUAGGGGAAAGAUAAUAUGGAAAUAGAAGAGAUAUCAAUUUCAGUUAAGGCACAGAUGACUCAAAUAAGCAUCACGGGCGGAUCAUAAAGCAAUUAAUUCUAAUUAAAGCAGGUAGAGGUGAAACUAGAAAUUAAAAGACGUAUUCAUAACAUAACAACUGCAUAACCAGUGAAUACAAGGACCUAAGAACCCUAGAAGGCCAAUUUUUCACAAAUAAGUCUGAGCACGUACUCGUCACCUCGCGCACACGGACUACAAUUAACAUAGAAGACUCAAAUCCUAAGGGGUAGUUCCCCCACACGAAGUUAGGCCAGAUUCUUACAUCGAACCAUGCUCAAUCAAUCAGUAAGAAUGCCCUUUCCUCAAUUAUCUGACUCUGAAUGGCCCAAAUCUAGCCAAACAUAAUUACAUAUCAUGAAUAAAAUUAUGAGAAACUAAUUUAAAUAAUAAAUCUACGACUUUAGCGAAGAAUCGAAAAUUCGGCCCAAAAAGUCGACCCGGGCCCACGUCUCAGAAUCGGGUAAAAGUCACAAAAUACGAACACCCAAUCAACCACGAGUUCACUCAUACCAAAAUUAUCCAAAUCCGAUAUCAAAACCCAAAAAUCUUAGUUGAAGAACUUUUUCCUAUUUUCCCAAAAUUUCAAUCCAAAUCCGAAAUUAAAUGAUGAAAUCAACCAUAGAUUAGUGAAAAAUAACCAUAAAGGAGUUAAGAAUCGUUACCUAAAAGCUUUCUCUGAAAAUCCCUCAAAUAAUCGCCCAAUCCGAGCUCUCAAAGACCCAAAAAUAAAAAUGGGAUAAAACCCUCGAACUUGGCCUUUUCUGCCCAGCGAUUUCGCUUCUGCGGGCCUCCAGUCGCACCUGCGGAAAUUGCAUCGCAGGUGAAAUGACUUAAGUCCUCUGGUCCGCUUCUGCGAGCACAAGGCCGCACCUGCGAGUGCGCGCCUGCGGAUUCUUGUCUGCUUCUGCGGAAUCCUCACUCGGCUUGCCUUCCGCUUCUGCGAUCCCUUCUCCGCAGGAGCGGCUCCGUUUCUGUGCCCCUUUUGUCACACCUGCAACCACUGGUUACCCAGACCAGGGCCGCAUCUGCGAGCUCCCUUCCUCACGUGCGAGUCCGCUCCUGCGGCCACCGCACCACAGGUGCGAUUACACCAAAAGCUUGAGAGCUUCAGCAACUACAGAAGUCCAAAUCUCAAUCCGUUAAGCAUCUGAAACACACCUGAGGCCCCCGGGACCUCAACCAAAGCUAUCAACUAGUCCUAAAUCACCAUACGGACUUAGUCAAGCCCUCAAAUCACAUCAAACAACGCUAAAAAUACGAAUCACUCUCCAAUUCAAACUUAAUGAACUUGAAACUUUAAAUUUUUACAACCGAUGUCGAAACCUAUCAAAUCAACCCGGAAUUUAAAUUUUGCAGGCAAGUCCCAAAUAACAUAACUAGGAUGUUCCAACUCUCGGAAUCGCAUUCCGACCCCGAUAUCAAAAGGUCCACUUUCGGUCAAAAUCUUCGAAAAUUCGACUUUCGCCAUUUCAAGCCUAAAUCAGCUACAGACCUCAAAUUCACCGUCCGGACACGCUCUUAAGUCCAAAAUCACCCAACUGAGCUAACGGAACCACCAAAACUCUAUUCCGGAGUUGUCUUCACACAGUUCCAACUACGGUCAAAAUUCUAAGACUUAAUCUUCCGUUUUAGGGUCUAAGUGUCCCAAAUCACGCAGAAUCAUCCGGCAUCUGAAUUCAACCACGCACGCAAGGCAAUACACAUAAUACAAAUUUGCUCAUGGCCGUAAGCCGCCGAACGGGACUUAAAUUCUAAAAAUGGCUGACCGGAUCAUUACAUGAAAUUUAUUAAAGAUAGAGUGAAGACAAAAAUUCAGGGUUAGUCCAACAAGAAAAAAUGUGAUGCUUAAAUCUGCCUUAUCCACGAUUCUGGCUAAUGCUUUAUCUUGCUUUCAAUUUCUGGAUAGUAUAUUGUCACGACCCAAAAUUCCACCUUAGGAAUUGUGAUGGCACCUAGUCCCUUGGAUUAGGCAAGCCUAACACAUACUGAGAAUUAACGGGUUUUAACCAACUUAACUGCAAAACAUUAAUUAAUAACUGAAAUAACAUAGUCGAACCAACAUCAGCCAUACAAUCUCAAAAUCGGUAGUACAAGUUAUAAGUUUUUUAAGAGUAACUAGGAAUAUCAAGUACAUCACUGUCCCGAAAUAAUAACAAACAUUGAAAAUGAAAGAUAACAUAAGGUGACUCCGGGGCCUGCAAACGUUAAGCAGGAAUACCUUGAAGUCUCCAGUCGUGCAGACACAACUCUUCAAAUCAACACGAUCAGAAGUACCUGGAUCUGUACAAAAAUAUACAGAAGCGUAGCAUGAGUACGCCAUAGUGGUACCUAGUAAGUAUCAAGACUAACCUUAGUGGAGUAGUGAUAAAGUAAGCUGAGACACCCACUAGACAUAAAACAUGUGCAAGAUAUUAACAUAAAUCUAACAAUGAAAAAAACAUCAAUGUGAAGCUAACAUCAUAGAAAUUAUUAAUAUAAAAUCAAUAAAGGAAUAAUAGAAACACAAUUGGCAACAAGCAGUAAACGGGUAGUGAAGCAGCAACAUAUUAAGAACAUAAAUGAAAUAUUGUAACGACUCAGAUGGUCGUUUUGAGUGUUAUAGCCUCGUUCCCUCAUUUAUUGCCUAUUUUGUGUUUGUUUGUUAUUAUGUAACUUGUCGGGGUUAUUGGUUUGGUUACGGGGAUGUUUCGGAUUGAAUUGGGAGAUUAGUCCCAAGGCUGGAAGCCUAAGUUGAAAGCGUUGACUGGAUAUUGAUUUGUGUAUAAAUGGCUCUAGAAUGGAGUUUUGAUGGUUCCGAUGGAUCCAUAGGGUAAUUUUGGACUUAUAAGUGUGUCCGGAUAUUGAUUUGGAGGUCUGUAGGUGAUUUGUCUUGAAAUGGAGAAAGUUGGAAAAUUAGAAGUUUGGAGAGUUGAGAAGUUUGAUGACCGAUAGUUUAUUUUAUGGUUACUGGGUUAAGAUUUUGGUUCCGGAAGUUGAAAUAGCUUCGUUGUGUCAUUUAUGACUUGUGUGAAAAAUUUGAGGUUAAUCGGGGUAGGUUUGGUAUGUUUCGGUAUUAGUUUUGGAAGUUAGAAGUUCAUAAGUUCAUUAGGCUUGAAUCGAUGCUCGAUUCGUGGUUUUAGUGUUGUUUGAUGUAAUUUGACGCUUCGAGCGAGUUUGUAUGAUAUUUUAGGACUUGUUGGUAUUUUUGGUUGAGGUCCACGGGGCCUCGGGUGUGAUUCAGAUCAUGUUCGACACAUUUUGGAACUACGAAGAACUGCUGAUUUUUGUAGAUGGUUUCCUUAUACGCGAUCGCGAGUGGGAUAUCGCAACCGCGAAGAGUUAUUUGGCACUGGUGGAAGAUUUUUCUAUGCGAUCACGAGAAGAGGUCUGCGAUCAUGGAGCUUUGGAAUUUAAUGAAUCACGAACGCAUAUGUUGGGUCGCGUCCGCAAAGAAGAAAGGAGGAGGUUGGGAGUCCACGUGAUUUGUUCUUCGCAAUCGCAUGAAUGGUUCCGCGAUCGCGUAGCUUGAGGAGACUGUGAAUCAUAUUCACGCUUGGGAUUCCGCAUUCGCGGAGAGUUAAUUUGACAUCCUGUGAAUUUGUGCUUCGCGAUCACAAAGCAUUUCACGUGAUCGCGAAGAAGAGCAUCUGGGCAGAAUAUAAGUUUUCAAAAUCGAGGCUUAGAGUAAAUUUUCAUAUUUGGACUUUGGGAGCUCAGAUUGAGGUGAUUCUUGGUGAGCUUUUCGAGGAAUUUAUUAAGGUAAGUGAUUUUAACUCUGAUUUGGUUAAUAUACAUGAAUAUAUCAUUGUUUUCGCCAUUUAAUUAAUGUUUUGGGUUAGAAACAAUGGGGGAAAUUGUAGAAACUUUAUAGGCUUUAAUUUGAGGAUUUGAAGGUCGAGUUGUGAUCGGAAUUGAGUAAUUUUGGUAUGGUUGAGCUCGUGGUUGAAUGGGUGUUCGCAUUUUAUUAAUUUUGUCGGAUUCCGAGAUGUGAGCCCGGGGUUGACCUUUUGAGUUGACUUUUUGACUUUUGUUCAAGAACUUAGCCUUUUCAUAUAGAAUUGAUUCUUAUAGAUUGUGUUGAUUGUAUCGAGUUGUUUGUGGCUAGAUUUGAGAUGUUUGGAGGCCGAAUCACGAGGCAAGGGCUUGUUGGAGUAGAGAUUUACAUGGUUUGAGGUAACACCUCUAAACUUGAUUCUGAGGGUAUGUACCCCCUGAAAUACGUGUUAUGUGAUUGGUAUUGAGGUGGCGCCCAUGCUAGAUGACGGGCAUGUGUGACUUGGUCAAUUCCAUAAAACUGUGUAGUCACUGAAUCUUGCUAUUACUCAUGUCUACUCUAUGUUAGAGAAUUUGAGUUGUGAAUUAUGUUAGAAAUCAUGUUUAGGCUAUUUGCUGGUACUAUUAGGAUCCAUAUCGGUCGUUCUUUUGAUGUUGAGUUAUUUACUUAAAUUGCAGUUAUGUACUCAAUCACAUUCAUCAUUGCAUAUCACAUCUCAGUCUUUGUUAUCAUUUAUUGUCACAUCAUGUAUCAUUGUUUUGGGAUGAUUGGCAUGAGUGUUGUGAGCCCAAGAGACUGGAGAGAUUGAUGACUGAGUGAGACCGAGGCCCUGUUUAUGAGUGAUAUUGAUGGGAACGGGAUGCUCGCCGCAGCGAGUACUAUUGACUCAUGAUGGGAUCAGGCUACACGCCACAGCGGGUCCUAUUGAUUCAUGAUGGGAUCAGGAUGCGCGCCGCAGCAGGAUUUAUUAGCGCUUGGGUAGGAUCCGCCCCUCUGGAGUCUGACAUACCAGCAGUGAGCACAUGUACCAUAUAGUGCUGAGUGACUGAGUGUGAUGAGCGAGAAUUGAGACAGUCAGAUUGAGUACUCUAAGAGUGUGAGUACGUGAGGUUUUCAUUGUGUUGCAUCACAUGUGACAUGCACAUUGACAUGUAGAUAUAGAGAUGUAAUAUUCUCAUAUCAUUCAUACUUGGAAUAUUUUAUUUGUAUUGAACUUAACUGUUAAACCUUGAAGCAUGUCUACAUUCAUGUACUGUGUGCCAACAGAUUAUGAGCUUCUCUGAGAUAUUAUUGUCAUAUUUGUAUUGUUUAAAAAUCUAUAUUUAGAUUGUAUUGGUUGAGCUCGUCACUGCUUUCCACCCAAGGUUAGUCUUGUUAUUUAUUGAGUAUAUUGGGUCGGUUGUACUCAUACUACACUCUACACUUCGUGUAUAGAUCCAAGUAGUUCUGAGCACGGUGGUUUCUAGCUUUGGAGCUUUAUCUAUCAGAGACUUUUGCGGUAGCUGCUUUGGCGUCCGCAGACCUUGAUUCUCCUUCUUUUCAGUUAUUUGUACUGUUCUAUCUUUCUACACAGUAUUUAGCAGUCAGAUUAUGUUGUCAGUUAGAUUCUUAUGUACUCAGUAAUACCCAAAUUUUGGGAGAUAUUGUAUUGAGUCGCGGUAUUUUCU